rnacentral:rRNA from 1 species
AUACGAAGGGGGCUAGCGUUGUUCGGAAUUACUGGGCGUAAAGCGCGCGUAGGCGGAUUGGUCAGUUAGGGGUGAAAUCCCAGGGCUUAACCCUGGAACUGGCUCUAAUACUGCCAGUCUUGAGUUCGGGAGAGGUGAGUGGAAUUCCUAGUGUAGAGGUGAAAUUCGUAGAUAUUAGGAAGAACACCAGUGGCGAAGGCGGCUCACUGGCCCGAUACUGACGCUGAGGCGCGAAAGCGUGGGGAGCAAACAGGAUUAGAAACCCCAGUAGUCC